rnacentral:rRNA from 1 species
UACGUAGGGUGCAAGCGUUAAUCGGAAUUACUGGGCGUAAAGAGCGCGCAGGCGGUCGUGCAAGUCGCGUGUGAAAGCCCCCGGCUCAACUGGGGAGGGUCACGCGAUACUGAUCGACUCGAAGGCAGGAGAGGGUAGUGGAAUUCCCCGGUGUAGUGGUGAAAUGCGUAGAGUAUCGGGAGGAACACCAGUGCGAAGGCGACUACCUGGCCUGUU